rnacentral:rRNA from 1 species
GACGAACGCUGGCGGCGUGCUUAACAAAUGCAAGUGGAGCGACGAACCGGGGCUUGCCCCGGGGCAGAGCCGCGAACGGGUGAGUAACACGUGGGUAACCCACCCCGAUGACCGGGACAACCCGAGGAAACUCGGGCUAAUACCGGAUGUGCUCCUUGAUCUUGAGAUCAAGGCGUAAAGAUAGCUUCGGCCUUCGCAUCGGGACGGGCCCGCGGCCCAUUAGCUUGUUGGUGGGGUAAAGGCCUACCAAGGCGACGAUGGGUAGCUGGUCUGAUAGGACGGUCAGCCACGCUGGGACUGAGAGACGGCCCAGACUCAUACGGGAGGCAGCAGUGGGGCAUCUUGCACAAGGCGCGAAAGCGUGAUGCAGCAACGCCGCGUGGGUGAAGAAGGCCUUCGAGUUGUAAACCCCUUUCAGUUGGGACGAAGCUUCGCCGGUGAAUAGCCGGCUGGAGUGACGGUACCUUCACAAGAAGCCCCGGCUAACUACGUGCCAGCCGCCGCCGUAAAAC